rnacentral:sRNA from 2 species
GAUGAGAAGCUUCGACUAAGGUUCGAUUCGAGCGCAGCGAGAAAGCGUUGCCGUAGGCAACGACCCGAAGGGCGAAGCGCGCAGCGCUGAGUCAUCCUUCCCCCACCACCA